rnacentral:lncRNA from 1 species
UGUUCUGUGUGGCCUUAGGAGGAUGACUUCCUCAACUUCUACUACAACAAAUUUGGACGGAUUUUCAUAUAUGACGAUGGCGCGUCUUGAACUUGCUUAGUGAUUGUGAUCGUCCUUAAGUGGUCUACAGACAUUGAUGUAUUUUUUGUUAUUUUUUUCUUUAUACUACCAUGGCCUGAUGAAUAUAGCGACAGUUUGCUCGAAAAAAAAUAC